CGUAGGGUGCGAGCGUUAAUCGGAAUUACUGGGCGUAAAGCGUGCGCAGGCGGUUUUGUAAGACAAGCGUGAAAUCCCCGGGCUCAACCUGGGAACUGCGCUUGUGACUGCAAGGCUAGAGUACGGCAGAGGAGGGUGGAAUUCCACGUGUAGCAGUGAAAUGCGUAGAGAUGUGGAGGAACACCAAUGGCGAAGGCAGCCCCCUGGGUCGAUACUGACGCUCAUGCACGAAAGCGUGGGUAGCAAACAGGAUUAGAUACCCUGGUAGUCCACGCCCUAAACGAUGUCAACUAGGUGUUGGGUGGGUAAAACCAUUUAGUACCGGAGCUAACGCGUGAAGUUGACCGCCUGGGGAGUACGGCCGCAAGGUUA
rnacentral:rRNA from 1 species